rnacentral:rRNA from 1 species
UACGUAGGGGGCUAGCGUUGUCCGGAAUCAUUGGGCGUAAAGAGCUCGUAGGCGGCUUGUUGCGUCGACCGUGAAAACCCGUGGCUUAACUGCGGGCUUGCGGUCGAUACGGGCGGGCUGGAGUUCGGUAGGGGAGACUGGAAUUCCUGGUGUAGCGGUGAAAUGCGCAGAUAUCAGGAGGAACACCGGUGGCGAAGGCGGGUCUCUGGGCCGAUACUGACGCUGAGGAGCGAAAGCGUGGGGAGCGAACAGG